AGAGUUUGAUCAUGGCUCAGAGCGAACGCUGGCGGCAGGCCUAACACAUGCAAGUCGAACGGGCCCUUCGGGGUCAGUGGCAGACGGGUGAGUAACGCGUGGGAACGUGCCCAUCGGUUCGGAAUAACCCAGGGAAACUUGGGCUAAUACCGGAUACGUCCUUUUUGGAGAAAGAUUUAUCGCCGAUGGAUCGGCCCGCGUCUGAUUAGCUAGUUGGUGGGGUAAUGGCCCACCAAGGCGACGAUCAGUAGCUGGUCUGAGAGGAUGAUCAGCCACACUGGGACUGAGACACGGCCCAGACUCCUACGGGAGGCAGCAGUGGGGAAUAUUGGGCAAUGGGCGCAAGCCUGAUCCAGCCAUGCCGCGUGAGUGAUGAAGGCCCUAGGGUUGUAAAGCUCUUUCACCCACGACGAUAAUGACGGUAGUGGGAGAAGAAGCCCCGGCUAACUUCGUGCCAGCAGCCGCGGUAAUACGAAGGGGGCUAGCGUUGCUCGGAAUCACUGGGCGUAAAGGGCGCGUAGGCGGACCUUUAAGUCAGGGGUGAAAGCCUGUGGCUCAACCACAGAAUUGCCUUUGAUACUGAGGGUCUCGAGACCGGAAGAGGUUGGUGGAACUGCGAGUGUAGAGGUGAAAUUCGUAGAUAUUCGCAAGAACACCAGUGGCGAAGGCGGCCAACUGGUCCGGUUCUGACGCUGAGGCGCGAAAGCGUGGGGAGCAAACAGGAUUAGAUACCCUAGUAGUCC
rnacentral:rRNA from 1 species